UGACACAAAGUCACCGUAUAGAGUCCUCCCUCGCUUCGAUCGGUGGGCCUAAUAACGUAGUCUUUCUCCAAAAAUUCUCACAACCCUAAAAAGCGACUCGCAUCUUUUCAAAAAAUUUGUCACUCUGAAUUCUGAAACCAUCAUGGAGUCAUCAACUACUUCAAUCGCCUUUUUCCAACUUAAGCUAAAUCUAGUCACUCUGAAUCUCUAAUUUCGCGAACAUCAAAAGUAUGUCUGUUCUACACCUGUAAGAGACUUUUGGUUGGUGGAGAAGAACCGGAUUAUUUGAAAGUGCAUUUUUCCAAAAGCUGGAAUGAGAUGCGCCACCUAUUUAUCAUGGAGGUGCGAUCAUUUAUCAUUCCACCCUCCAGUCUCCCUUUUUAGCCACUUAUUCUCUGUUAGGUGAUUGCAUAUCUCUGGCCUCCUAUCAUACUCUGAGCAGUUUUGACUUCUUUAUGCAUUGUUACUUUGCUUAGUGACAGAUUCUUGUCAGCAUAUAUACAUCAUGAACAUGAAUCUGAAAAUAUUAUAUGUGAAUUACAAACACGACCAAUGUGCACAUACUUGAAAUGUGGUAUCCAUGGUCUGCAAACAAUCAGUUAAGUCAUAAAGGAGCAUAAUAAUGCAGGAAAAUAAAUCAUAAAGUUAUUUGUUAUAACAUUGUAGUACCUCAUAUAAGCCUCACUAGUUGUUGGAGAUUCAUUUAUUUCUUGUUACUAUUCAGAUGCUAUGGAGUUCUAUUGAGAAGUUCCCCCUUCACAUGUUACUCUUGUUACGUUUCACCUUCCUCUUUGCACGAACUUGGUGGAAAUUCCUGUUGGUUUGACUGAUUUCUCGCACAACAGAUUGUAGUAUUCUAUAUUUCAUGAUAGUGAUGAUGUAUGCAAUAAGUUAUAAGCCUAAGAUUGGCUUCUAAGUAGUUUGCAUAUGACAAAUUUCAAGUGUACCUCUUUACUUGCACUUUUAUAUUUUGCUAACCUGUGCAAGGGUCUUCAUGCUUAACCUAGUCCCGAGAUUUAUAAGGUAUUAAGUGUCAUAAAUUAAUAUAUUUUUUAAUUCAUAAUGCUUCAGGGUGGUAUGAAUUCUGAUUAUACCUGAUAGUCAUACAGUUAUCAGAUUUGGUAACAGAAAAAUUAUAGACAAUGGUUUAUUGAUAACCAGUUGUUUUUUCUUAAAGAUGGAAUAAGAUAGAGCAAUAGCUUGCGGAAUAUUUAGGAUUAAGAAAGUUAAAUGGAAAAAGUUUCACUAUGUACCCACGAUACAAAUGCAGAUUGUCUUGCAGAUAAACCUAAUGCAUUAACCAAAGGGGAGUUGAAGGAUCUUGUGGAAUUUUGGGUUAGUGAAGAGCAUCAGAUUGCAAUGUCAAGAGUAGAAGCCACUAAAAAGCCAAGCACACAGUGGGCAGGAAAAACUGUUCAAUGCAAAGCUGAAAUGGUACAUACACAAGUUGGUCUUUACAGUCGCUUUUCACUUUGCAACUUUAAAGUUAUUCAAGGUGAUAUUGUUUGGUCGUGGAUUUGAAUGUUCAUGGUUAAGAGAUAUUAAUUUGAAGUAAAAAGUUUCUCUACUGGUUAAUAUGAAAGUCUGAGAUUCUAUAAAUUAAUUUGUUUCUUUUCUUGUGGUAAAAUUGGAUUUUCUAUACUCUGUAUAACAUAUAAUGAAAUUUGAAUUCUUUGUUUUAAUUCAAUGUAUGUGUGAAAUUCUCUUAUGAAAA